GCGUUUAGAAGUACAGACACAUCAAAAAACCCAGUUUAUGUUUCGAUUGGUCAUAAGAUAAGUCUGGAAACUGCGCUGAAGAUAUGCAAGCUAUGCUGCAAGCACCGAGUACCUGAACCUAUUAGACAGGUAUAACUGAUCUAGUCAAAUAUUCCAAAUGCCCAACAACGGUUCUCAACGUGUUCUGUUAUAUUUUAGGCUGACAUUAGAUCACGUGAGUUUCUACGUCAGCACUACGAAACCAUGGUGACGAAAUGUUGUACCGACGAGGAACAUUGUGGAUCGGAAGGGGUAGCAAAAAGUUGGUGGGAUUGGUGUCUAAUACUUUGAAAAGAAAACAUCUUAACCAUGCAAUGGGCACUUAUGGGCACAUGUGGAUAACAUUAUCUGCACCAUAGAUAUCUUAUAUACACUAGAUAGUGCAUCUAGUUAUUCUUGCAAUUCAAAGAUUGAAGCCGUGAUUGCAGACUCAGGAUAUUCCCAUGAAAUGAGAAGACUCGUAUGUUUUCUAUUUCUUAAACAGGGAACAUGAACAUUAAGUUAAACCUAUUCCAAAUACAUUUUCAAACUGUUCAAAUGAUGAAAGUUAUUGUUGUUUUUUAAGCGUUUAUUAGCGAGUGGGAAACUUCAACAUGGCCGCCAUCUAUUCAAAUGGGGAUAACCGCUGGAAUAUUCUUGGCUUCAAUUUUUACUUAGAGAUGCGCCAUCUAGUGUGUAUAAGAUAUCUAUGAUCUGCACUCAUCAGCACCGAUCAAAAUCUGGGCUUACGGAUUCAAAGAUUUGAUUACGAUUAACAUUUCUAUAGCCCAAAUUUCCAUGUGAAUAUGAUCAAGUGCGCUUUACAUCAAGUAUCACGCUUACCUAAUUACAUACUUAGACUAGACUAUUUUAUCUUCACAACAAUUGUGAUAUUACUUUCUUAACGGUGUUCAUCCUAACCCAC